rnacentral:tRNA from 1 species
GCCUCCGUGGCUUAGCGGUAUAGCGCGACAUUGGUAAUGUCGAGGUCCCGAGUUCGAUUCUCGGCGGAGGCU